GAUGAACGCUAGCUACAGGCUUAACACAUGCAAGUCGAGGGACCGGCGUACGGGUGAGUAACGUGUAUCCAACCUUCCCAUCACUGUGGGAAAACCUGCCGAAAGGCAGACUAAUACCGUAUAGGAAUGGAGGGGGAUGCGUCUGAUUAGCUUGUUGGCGGGGUAACGGCCCACCAAGGCUACGAUCAGUAGGGGUUCGGUGAGGAAGGUCCCCCACAUUGGAACUGAGACAAGGUCCAAACUCCUACGGGGUGCAGCAGUGAGGAAUAUUUGGCAAUGGAGGAGACUCUGAACCAGACAAGUCGCGUGAAGGAAGAAUGGCUAAGGAUUGUAAACUUCUUUAGAGAGCGAGUAAGUAGCUCGAGAAUAAGUAUCGGCUAACUCCGUGCCAGCAGCCGCGGUAAUUC
rnacentral:rRNA from 1 species